UUUGAUAAUUAGAUCUCUCCCUCACGUCUUUGUUGAUUUUUCACAUGCUUUUUCUUGUAUCCCAAGGCUGACUUUAAAAACUACUUUGGUUCCAGUACAUACAAUGCAGAUUUUGAUGGGGAUGAGAUGAAUGUGCAUUUUCCACAAGAUGAGAUUUCACGAGCUGAGGCCUACAAUAUUGUCAAUGCCAACAACCAAUAUGCUAGGCCUUCUAAUGGAGAUCCACUUCGAGCUUUAAUCCAGGAUCAUAUUGUCAGUUCGGUUUUGCUCACAAAAGGGGACACUUUUAUGGACAAAGAUGAAUUCAAUCAGCUUCUUUUCAGUUCUGGCGUGACUGACAUGGUUCUGAGUUCUUUUUCUGGACAAUCUGGCAAGAAAGUCACACAAUCAGCUUCUAAUGCAGAGCUGUUGACUGUCACUCCUGCUAUUUUAAAACCAGUGCCUCUUUGGACUGGAAAGCAGGUUAUCAUAAUACUCCCUGUUAUAUAUAUAUAUAUUUUUUUUUGUAACACAACUUUCAUUAACUUCAAAUUCAAAAACUACAAAAACAAGAUGGAAGUAAACAUCCUCUUAGAAGCAAACCAUAAACUACAAUAGCAAAGGAAAUUCAACUCGAGAAGUCUUCAUAUGAUGUUGACAGCGAAUUCAAGACAAAGCUGGAAUGCGCGAUAAAGCCUGCUAUAUUUUAUUUAGUUUAUAGUUUUGUUGGUUCUCUAACCAAUCUGGUUUUCUGGUCAUGUUCUAGGUCAUCACUGCUGUGUUGAAUGUGAUAACCAAAGGUCAUCCGCCAUUCAGCGUAGAGAAAGCUACCAAACUUCCUGUUGACUUCUUCAAACGUAGAACAAGAGAAUCCAACAAAAACAAGUCAUGGAAACAUGAUCUUGAUGAAGAUAAACUGCUCAUCAGGAAAAACGAAUUUGUCCGCGGUGUGAUUGACAAGGCUCAGUUUGCGGACUAUGGGUUGGUUCACACAAUGCAUGAGCUCUAUGGUUUAAAUGCUGCAGGAAACUUGCUUUCUGUUUUUAGUCGUCUCUUCACGGUCUUCCUUCAGGUUUUGUUUGCUCUCAGUUUAUUUUCAUUUUGUUAUAGAGUUUUGAAAAUCGUGAACCUUUUGUUUCUAACUUCUUUCAGAUUCACGGUUUCACCUGUGGAGUUGAUGAUCUUAUUAUUUUGAAAGAUGUGGAUGAAGAGAGGACCAAGCAACUUCAAGAAUGUGAAGGUGUUGGUGAAAAAGUCCUACGUAAGACCUUUGGCAUUGAUGUUAAUGCUCAGAUAGAUCCUCAGGACAUGAAAUCUAGCAUUGAGCGACUUCUUUACGAGGACGGGGAACCUGCCUUGGCAUCUUUGGACAGGAGAAUCGUCAGUGAGCUCAACCAGUGUUCAGGAAAGGGGGUGAUGAACGAUUUGCUCUCUGAUGGGUUGCUGAAAACACCUGGAAGGAAUUGUAUAUCUCUGAUGACAAUAUCUGGAGCUAAGGGCAGUAAGGUGAGUCUUUCUUCAGUAUGCUUGUUGUUGUUCGUGUUGCACGUUAUUUUUCACUAUUUGUUUCUCAUGUUGCCGACUCUCUGCAGGUUAACUUCCAACAAAUCUCUUCUCACCUUGGCCAGCAAGAUUUAGAAGGAAAAAGAGUUCCCAGAAUGGUUUCUGGGAAGACAUUACCUUGUUUCCAUCCAUGGGACUGGUCGCCUAGAGCUGGAGGUUUUAUUAGUGACAGAUUCCUUAGUGGUCUCAAGCCACAAGAGUAUUACUUCCAUUGUAUGGCUGGACGAGAAGGGUUAGUAACACUUCCUCCUUUUAAAGUUUACUUUGUUCCUGUAACAUAAAUCUUUUGAAAAUGGUUUGUGUAAAAAUUUUAUUCAUUUUAAGUCUUGUGUUGUAUUUGUGUUAAGAGUCUUUGCCAUCUUUGUUGUGGCGCAUUAAUUGUAAACAUUUAGAACAUUCUGUUUUAUAGGUUAGUUGAUACUGCAGUGAAGACAUCACUUAGUGGGUAUCUGCAGAGAUGCUUGAUGAAAAAUCUCGAGAGCCUGAAAGUCAACUAUGAUUGUACAGUCCGGGAUGCUGAUGGGUCCAUCAUUCAAUUCCAAUAUGGUGAAGAUGGCGUGGAUGUUCAUCGGUCUAGCUUCAUUGAAAAAUUCAAAGAACUUGCACUAGUAAGCAUUCCAUUUUCAAAACACUUUAGCCUUUUCCUUUUGGAAACUUAUGUUGUUAUUCAUUUAACUUGCUUUGAUUCAGAAUCAAGAUAUGAUCCUUGAAAGAUGCAGUGAAGACAUGCUAUCUGGUUUCAGUAGUUACAUAACUGAUCUGCCUAUUACUCUUGAGAAGAGAGCUGAGAAGCUUGUAGAGUCAAUGCCUAUGAAUGAGCGUAUUGCUACCAAAAUGGUGAGACAAGAGGAUCUACUGAAGCUGGUGAAAUCAAAAUUCUUUGCAAGUCUUGCCCAGCCAGGGGAGCCUGUAGGUGUACUUGCUGCACAAUCUGUAGGAGAGCCAUCAACACAGAUGACUUUGAAUACUUUCCAUCUUGCUGGACGUGGAGAGAUGAAUGUGACACUCGGAAUCCCACGUUUACAAGAGAUAUUGAUGACUGCUUCUGCAAACAUUAAGACACCCAUCAUGACUUGCCCUUUGCUCAAGGGUAAAACAAAGUAUGUUGGAUAAUUAUGCUAUUUACAAAAUAUGAGAAAUAUUAUAGAUGUUUCAUGUUUAAAUAUUCUCUACUUAUCUGUCAUUUGUGCAGGGAUGAUGCAAGCCAUAUUACUGAUAAAUUAAGGAAGAUUACAGUAGCAGAUAUUAUAAAGAGUAUGGAAGUAUCCGUUAUACCAUUCGCAGUUUAUAAAAAAGCUAAAGUUUGUCGAUCUGACCAAAAAAAGAAAAAAAGUAGAGUUUGUAGUAUUCACAAGCUUAAGAUAAAUCUAUAUAAGCCAGAGCAUUAUCCGAAGCACACUGAUAUUACUGAUGAGGAUUGGCAAGAGACAAUGAAGGUUAGGUAUUUGAGGAAGCUGGAAGAUGCUAUACAGAAACACAUGACAAUGCUCUGUAGAAUCAGGGGCAUAAAGGUUAAGAAAGUCACCGGUCCAAAAGCUGGAAAUGAUACGAAGAAUAAUGAUUCUGCAAGUGGAAAGCAGACUCAAGAUGAUGAUGAUUCUGCUAGUGGAAAGCAGAAUCAAGAUGAUGAUGAUGAUGAUGAUGAUGAUGAUGAUGAUUCUGCUAGUGGAAAGCAGAAUCAAGAUGAUGAUGACGAUGAUGAUUCUGCUAAUGGAAAGCAGACUCAAGAUGAUGAUGCUGAUGAUGAUGAUGAUGAUGAUGAUGAGGGUCUUGGUGCAGAGAAACGGAAGAAGCAAGCAGCAGAUGAGGAUUAUGAGGAAAGUUCCGAAGAUGAGAAGAACGAAACAUUGUCAACUAGUGGAGUAGAUGAUGACACUGAGAUGGACAGUGAGGAUGAGAAUGAAGAAGUUAGCAAGGAAGAGACUCGGGAACCCAAAAAAAAAGAAGCGAGAGAUAUUUGUUAGACAUAAGAAAGACAGACAUAUCUUUGUGGAAGGCAAAGGAGCGACAUUUGAGGUCCAUUUCAAGUUUCUUUCAAAGAAGCCUCAUAUGUUACUUGCUCCGGUACCUUGUUCUUGAAGCUAUUAUCUUUAUGACUCUGUUGUUUUAUGCUAAGCCCUAGGUGUUUUAUACUUCUUCUUUUUUGACACGCAGGUUGCUCAGAAAACAGCACAGAAGGUUUACAUCCACAACUAUGGGAGAAUCGAACGGUGCACAUUAGCUAACUGUGGUGAUCCUCAAGUGAUAUACCAUGGAGACAAACCAAAGGAGAGAGAAGACAUCUCCAACGAGGAAAAGAAAGCCUGGUCAGCUCUCCACGCAUCAGGAGUUGAUUUCUCUGAUAUCUGGGAGUUUCAAGAUAAGCUUGACGUUAGGUACUUGUACAGCAACAGCAUUCACGACAUGCUCAACACAUUUGGAGUUGAAGCGGCAAGAGAGACCAUAAUCAGGGAAAUAAACCACGUUUUCAAAUCAUACGGUAUAUUAGUAAGUUUCAGACACUUGAACCUCAUCGCAGAUUACAUGACCUUUUCUGGUGGAUACCGUCCAAUGAGCCGUUUUGGAGGAAUUGCAGAAUCAACUUCUCCAUUCUGUAGAAUGACAUUUGAGACAGCCACUAAGUUUAUUGUCUAAGCAGCUACCUAUGGAGAAGUUGACAGGCUAGAAACUCCCUCUGCUAGAAUAUGUCUUGGUUUGCCUGCGCUUUCAGGAAUGGGUGGCUUUGACCUGUUACAGAAUAGAGGUCUGAUUAGUGUGUUAAAACCUAGCGUGGAGCAGAAUUUUGUCUAAUUUAAAAUAUUUGUCGUACUAAAAGUUUUGUUUUACAUUUUAUUGUCCAAUAAAUGGAUAGAUGUACCUGCCGACAAAUUGAGAAAACGUUUGUGGAUGGCAAGAGCUGCAUUUUAGUGAGUUUUCGAUCAAAGCAAAAGAAAAAAUGAAAUGGAUGUAGCAACCUCGUUUUUAUUGGGUUAAUUUUCUGAGUAACCAAUUUUGAAAGAGGAAUUAAAAAUAUAUCACCAAUUUUUACGGUAUUAAUUCAAUAACAUUUAACACAUAUUUGAGCCAGUUAUACAUUUGUCUCUCCAGGUAAUCGAUGACAUAAAAAGAACAAAUGACGUCGAUGAUGAAGAACAUGUGAACGAGAAAAAGAGAUUAUGUAGUUGAUGAUGAAGUGAGUAUUGGAUCAUUGAUUAUAUGGUCUUGUGGUAGUAGUUAUGGUGGAAGACGGCGUACAAGAAGGAUGAGAUGUAAUCGAAGUUCUCUCAUUAUAAUUUAUUAGAUCAUCUUCCGCGCGAACCUUUUAAAAUUUUACAAUUAGUUUUGUUAUUUAAUUAUAGAAUAUUGCAGAAUUUUCAUAUGUACAUAAACUAUGUACUAUGUAAAAUAUAGUAUAUGAGGGGAGACAUGGGUUUUUUUUUUGUUGUUUUAGUGUUUCGUAUAUUUUUAGCAUUUUUGCAAUUAGAUUCUUUUUAUUAGUUUGCCAAAAUACCAAAACUGAGUUUAAAAUAGAAAAAUAGUUUGGAUGAUGUUGGAAGUUGUCCGUUAGUGUUUCCUCGAUUAUUGUGUUUUAACUUCUUCUGAGCUGAGCGAUAGAUAGAAGGUGUAACUCUAACUCAUGUAUUGAAUCUGAGUUAACGUUAUUAAAACAUAAAUUUUCCAGAAAACUUGUGAAAUUGUUUUCCAUUAAUUUUCAUCUCAAAUUAUUUUUCUAAUAGUAUAAAAUUUCUUCAAUCUUUUUUAUAACGUCAUCAUUUUAUUGAUUUCAAAUCAAUGUAACAGAUUACAUGGAACAUGAAUUACUAUGGUCGUACAACUAUUUGCAUCCUUUAUAAGUUCCAUAACACUUUAAAUAGAAUAAAAUCGGACAAAAACAGAUAAAAAAGCGCUUCCCAAUUUAUUUCGUUAAUUUUUUUUUGUUGCCUAUGAAAAAAAUGAGAUUUCUAUUUAGUAGUAGUUGUAAUCUCGAGUAAUUUGUCUCUUUUAAAUUGUCAAAUGGUUUUAUUGGAUUAAUGUACUGAUAUAUAUAUAGUACAAAAUUAAGUUACUCUUAAACGAUUACAUCCACUGAUCAAGAAACAACAUGUGGCCUAUUAAUCAAUAUGUAUUAACAUUUAAAUUUGUUUUCGUUUCUAUCCUUGUAUAUUCUGGGAAUAAUGUUUGUCACCACAAUAAAUUUAUAUUUCCGGUUACUUAUGCUUUGCAGCUCCCUGAAUAGAGAUGUUUGGUUGUUCCAAAAUGUAUAUAUUUUUUGUUAGAUUUUAUUAUUUAUGUUUCUAUAGUAGUUAUUUGUUAUUAUUUUUACUUUUUUUGUAUAUAUACACAUUAAUUUUUCUUUACAAAAUUUGCUUUGUUUUCAUUAAUCAUUGACCGUUUUUAUCCCAUAUGAAUAAUUUUUUUUCCUAACUCUACUCGAAAUGUAGUCAUAAGGUUAUUAGUGUAUGGUGAAAACUUCGUUCAUAAUUUUGUCAUGUCAUCUCUGUCACACCUUUGAAAUAAUGUUCCUAUAUAGUAGUAAUUUCAGUUACGGAGAAAAAUACAUUUUGGACAGUAAAAGUAAUCAUGGUCAUAAGCUGUCAAAUACGUUUCCAAUAUCUUAAUCUUGUUCAAGUCCUGGUCUUCAACCCAUUUGUAAACUUCAUAUCGCUCUGUUGUUCAAUUUUAAUUGCUCGGCCUAUACAUCUUUGCCAAAAAAAAAGCAGACAAAAAGCAUCACACAAAGAACUUUCAAGUUUUUCAACGUGUUAAACUAUUUCAUGCUUCUCCAAUUUAUGAAAGGCCGUUUGGAAUUUAGGGAACGUUAGAUAUUGCAAGCAUGCAAUAUAACUGUCAACUUUCAUCAGUUUCUGAGAAAGAGAAAAGUUAGAAAAUAAAUAUAUUUGUAUAUAUGUUUUUUUUUUGCUUUAAAUUUGGUGAAUAUAUGUAUGUUGUAUUUAGAUUUUAACUAAUUUAGUUCUUCUUAUAUUUAAUGACUCACUUGCCCGGGGUUUUCAAAUAAAAUUUAAUUAAAUUGAGAUUUGUUUACUUAUAUUUUAAUAUCUGUUAUAUAUAUAUUUCUACCAAUUACAAAAACAUAAAUUAGUAGAUUUAAAAUUUUAAUGUAUUUUUGUCUGACAAAUUUAGAAUGGCAAGAGCUCACAAUUGGUUGUAACUUUAAUACUCUAUUAAAUUUUGCUGUAAUUUUAUGUUUAUAUAAUAAAGUAAAAGUAAAAAAAGAAUAACUCAUUAUUUGUUAUAGUUUUAUUAUUGGAAUCAUAUAUGAUGAAAACGAUGAAUAUAAGUUAAUUAAACUUUAAUUAUAAUCUUUGUACUCUUAAUCUUAGAUAAUUUAGGCUUUUAUAUACAACAAUCAUUAGCUUAUAAUUGAUUUAAACUUUGUUUUGUCUUUAAUAUUAUUGAAUUCCAAGAUAGAAAAUAUUAUUUUAUACACUUUUGACCUUAUGACUUCCAAACAUUACUUUUUUUUGUAAACACUACUUCCAAACUAAUAUAGUGAGUAAUAUACAAAAAUCUUAGUUGGAAUCAUUUUAUUUCUUCGUACCAGUAUGAAAGUUCUGAUAUCAUUUGAAUUUGAAUAUGAUGUAUUUAAACUCAUUUGCCACCAAUUGAGAUAGUUGAAAAGAGAGAAGUUUGAUCACCUCGAAAAUUCUAAAUAUCCUUAUUUAUUGUAAAAAUAGAUAAUCAACGUAAUUUUCACUACACAUCAGUUCAUUGCGUCCAAAGUAUCAGUCGAGUGUUCUAUUUGAGGUGUCCCGUUACUUUUUUUCCUCUCAUAUUCCAUCACCCUCUUUUCUUUCAGUCCUCAGUUCUGGUUUUGAUUUGAUCCACUUCGUUUCUCACAUGCAUGUUCUUAUAGAGUAUAAUGACCACCAACGCUAAAAUUCUCUUGAAUAUAUUCUUCAUGAACCAUAUAGUACCACGACUCAGGAUUAUAAGCGAGUAAAAUCAGUAAACCAAAACUAAGACCAUUCUCCUUGCAAGAUGCAUGAGAAUCUCCCUAGUCAGUAUCUAUUCAUUUUUUUUCCUUCAAAUUUUGUUGAUCAUUCACUUGGCUCUCUUGAGCCUCUCUUCUUUUCUUCUCAAGAUAACUUGGCCACCCAAUGGUGACUCUCGGCUCUGUUUUCUCUGCAGCUUCUCACCUCUGCCAGCCAAUGUUACAUCACUGUUUCUGUUCAUGCGUAUUCUUUUGCACCUCUCAAAAUCUGAAUAUAAGUGUUCCUGAAAAUUUUCUAGAGUAUUAGCUACGAUAUUUUUUGAAUCAAAGGAAACAUGUUAGUUCAAGAACUUAGAAUCAUACAGUGUUGGAAUCAGUAAAACAGGACUUGUCUAAAUGAGUUAGCUCAAGUUCAGAAUACUCGUCCAGAAUAGCACGCCUUGUAAUGAAGCACUACAUAUUUUAUAGCUUAGAGUCCCCGUAAUAUGUCUUCCAAGAUAUUAAAAUUAGGUGACCAUAUUCCUUUCAAAGUAGACAAAAUUAUAGUGGAAGUACGAACUAUUGUUAAUUUUAUUAUAUUGCAACAGAACAACUUAAACAUAAAAGAUUUUGGAUAUGAAGCUUACCAGCUUUUUCUUUACUUGCCGGUUCUAACUUAACCGUUGGAGUGGUAGUGUAAAGCAACUAACAAUCUCUACAGCUAACAAUUAUAACAUAGACUGAACUGAAAAACAUUUCAAAAGUUCCUCUUUCUAUAAGUUAAGUUAUCACCAGAUGAGAGAUCAUUUCUUCCCUUCUUCAUACUUGUGAUCAUGUGAAUCUCGACACAAUGAGCUACAGUUAAAAAAAAAAGAAUUCAUGAGAGACGUUUCACUGAUUACAUGGUCUUGUGGUAGUUAUGGUGGAAGACGGCGUACAAGAAGGAUGAGAUGUAAUCAAAGUUAUAUCAUCAUAAUUUAUGUUGUCGUCACAAUUCUUACUUUAUUUUGUAAUAUGAAACAUUGUUCUAUUCUAUUUAAUAAAAUUAAAAUAGUACUAGCAUUAAUUUCUUAUAUACAAAGUAGAAUGUUUAGACACUGCAAAUUGAGCAUUGUUCAAGCUGCUAUUCCAUUCUAGACCCCAACCACACCCUAACAUCCCCAAAUACUAAACUCAAUCCCACUCCUAACCCCUAAAUACUAAACCCUAAUCACUAAACUCAAACCCAAAUAUAAACCAUAAUAUAUAAUGUUUAACUAUAUUUAGUUACAAAUCAUAAAUACUAACAAACGUGAAACAACAAUUUGUACACACAAAUUACAAAAUAUAAGAUGUGCACAGAAAAAGUGGAUUAUUCUAUAGUCUUAAAAUAUGAAGCCACUGUAAACUAGAAUAGAACAUGAUAAAUAGUAAGUUUAAAAAAAAAACAUGAUAAAUAGUAUAUUACAUUGUAAAUGAACACGAUGAAUAGAGAAGUGUUCAAUUUGAGGACCAGACAGGUUGUUCUAUUUCAUAGAUAUAGUAUAGAUAUAUGUGAAUAAUAAGCGACAAUAUCUUAAAUAGUAUGAUACCAUUAUAAAUAUCUACACUAACAAAUAUACCAUGCUAUAACGUCCUUUCACUGGAAUAUAGUCUAGACGGCAAGUCAUUUCUUACAUAUCCUCUCUUUUCCGCCACAGCGAUACAAAUUCAUCGGCACCGUCGUUCUCUUCACCACCAGAUUUGCAUAACAAUCCUUAUUAAAUUUUGUUUGUCAAUUUUGAGUUGUCCAUCACCCAAACAUAGUUCGUCUCCCUAAAUUUAAAUAUAAAAACUUUCUUAACUCUUGUCUUCUUUUGAUUACAGAGGACGUAGGUAAGAAGAUGAAAGCAAUAUGACAAUUAUAUCCUUUAUUAAAACCGUACAUAAACUGGUAUACGUAUCAAAGUCGUGUGAAUCACGUGUGGCCUAGUAGCUUGUGUGUAUAGUUUUCUCUUGAAUAACUCGGGUUCGAGUGAAGGAAAAAGCAGUUUGAUGAAUUUUUGACCUGGGAGAGAAGAUAUUGUACAAGAUUUAGUGUGGAUUUUGUUUAGAUUUAGGAAAGAUAUCAACCAAAAUAUGGAAACUUCCAUAUCUUCGUUAUUUGGCUAUAAUAUGUAUCAUAUACUGUGCAGAACACUGUAGAGAGGGUGGGAAGUUUAUUCUUCUGUAGGCAUAAUAUAAAGUAAAAAGCAUAACAUGCUAUGACACAUAAACAAGAAAAAUGUAAAUCGUAAAGUCGUGGCUAUAAGUUGUAAUAAAACUACAAGUAGACUAACAACAUCUUGCUAGAAUAUAACCUAAUGAAUUCUAACUAAGAUAGAAUAUACAAGAAAGUUUUGUUAGCGUUACAUACCAAAGAUAGAUCUAUAUAUAAUACUUAUUAUAUGAUUUCUACAUUAAGUAGAUGACUAUAAUGAGUAUUAUAUCUCCAUCUAGAACAUAAGAUAAAGUAUGAUUAUACUAUUUUUUUAAAAGAAUUUUAAACAUAUAAAUAAUCAUACGUAAUUAUGUUUUUAAUAGUUUUCAUAUUUUUAUAUUUUUAAAUUUUAGUUUACUAUUUUCCGCAUUGCAAAAGAGCAAAAUCUGUCUAAAAUAACCAAAAAUAUCAAAAGUUUGAGAAUGUCUUUUUUUUUUUUUACAAUUUUCCUUUUUUUUCUUUUACAAUUUUCCCUUAUAUAAAGCUCAUGAUUGCAUAAGUAUUUAUUGUGGUUCAACCAUUUUAACCUCAGCAAGCAGAAUCACUAUUUAAACCUUCAGUCGUAGUAUCGAUAGAACUGUUUUAAAUAAGAAACAUCACAUGCAAUAUAAAUGUUCUAUACAGAAUUAAUGAUGACAUGAGCCAUAUAUAUACAUAAAAUAUCACAUCCAAAAUAAAGCCAAAGCACACAAGGCGGGGUGGGUGAUGGCUUAUUUCCUUCUCUAUAUAUACAAAUACUCCUUUCAGUUUUGUAUGUUUAAAGAAAAUAUUUCGCUGUAAAAUAAAUAAUGUUCUCAGUAUUUUAAAUACAUUUUUAAUCAUAUUUAAUAUCUAUGAUCAAUUAUGUAAUAUAUCACUUUUAUAGGUUGAAUUUAUUUUGUUUAAUAAUAUUUUAUGUUAAUAAGAUAAAUUAUAAAAACAUUCAUAUAUGAUUAAUUUGUAUGCAUCUUACCUAUUAAAAUAGAAAUAAUGACUUGUUAACAUGUAUGAUCUAUUAAGGGUGAGAAAAAGACCACAUGACCAUUAAUGAAGACCUUAAGAAGUAAAUUAAUUUUAGUGGCAUUUUAUGUAAUAAACACAUGAACAAAAUGUUAAUUUUAUAGUGUACUUCUAUUUUAAUAGAAUACUAGGUGAUCAUCCGCGUCCUGCGCGGGGUAAGAAAACUUAAAGAAAAUAUAAGUUUGAAUAUAUAGAUAUUAGAAAUGUAAAAGUCAUAGACACAAAUAUUACAUGUUAUUUAUGUUAAGGGAUUCAACGAAAUUGUGGAUAUGUAAAUAAAGUAAGCUUCAAAGUUUUUUAAAACUUAUGUUAUUUGUUUUGUGUGAUUGAAGUAUAGUUCGUGAAAAUGAAUCUAUAAGAGUAAACAAAAACUUAUAUAAAAUUAAUUAUGAAAUAAAAAUAAAACGAAACAUAGGCGAUAAAAAAAAAUAAAAUGUGAAAGCAUAUCCUAUAUAAUAAGGAAACAAAAUAAAUAAAUUAACUAAGAAAACUACGACUGCUGUGAAAAGUAUCUUCAAAACUCUUCGUUUACAAUCCUAUAAAGUCCGCCAUUGGUGUACUUCUAGUUUUGUUAAUGAUGAUUCAGAAAGAGUGAUGUGGUGAGGAGUUGUGUUGCAGACACUGCGUAUUUAUAUAGAGUUUUAAUGAUGAAAAAAAUAGCCAAAAUUAUAGUAGCAAAUAUUUACUAAUUAAUAUUUCUAUACUUGCCGUACAAUUUACUUUAAAACUGGUCUUUUCACAUGUUGUUUUAAAAAAUGCAGCUCUCAAAUUAGGUAAAAUUUGGAUCUUGAAUCGUAUAUGGAAACGUGUUUCUCAACGACUAUAAUUGAGGUAAAUUACUUGAUGGUUUUAAAAAUUCAUUUAGUGAAGAUUAUGAAUUGAUUAUAAACUUGAUAAAUAGUAUUGUACAUCAAGGUUUGCAUUAUGGCGAAAGAGAAUAUUCAGUAUCCAUAUUCUUAGGUAAUCCCAAAUAAAUUUAAUUUGUAAAAUAAGGAAAUCUGAGGAAAUAAAGUUAGCCGAUGGCAUUAAUAUGUUUGUAGUAUAUGACCAAAUAUUCACAUUCCCUAUAGCUUAUAAAUUACAAAUAUUUAUACCAUAAAUAAGGAAUUAAUUCAAACCAUAUAGAAAUAGCUUAAAUUUGGGACGUAUAAAAUAAGGAAAUCUGAGGAAGUAAACCUUGUCAAUCUAAGCAUUUAACUGUUUGUAGGCCAAGGGAAAAAUAUUGACUUGAUUUUCAAAAUCAUCGGAAGAAAAUCAAUUAUGAAUUGAUUCCACACUUGACUCCAAAAUUUAAGAUCUAAUUGAUACGUUUGUAAAAUCUAAACUGGUCAAAUCCUUGAUUUUCUUCUGAUGAUUUUGAUAAUUAAUAAUUUGAUUGUAUCAAUUAUGCAUUGUUUACGGAAAUGAUAAUUAAUCAUCGAAAGAAAGACAUAAUCAAAUAUUAUGAAUUGUUUACAGAAAUGUAAUGUAUUUUCCUAAAUUACUGUCGAUCUUAAUUGUUUUUCUAACCAAGAUUAAUAAUUUUGAACAUAUAUGUAGUUUCAAAUAUUGCAUAGUUUUAUGAUUGGUCGAAAUAUUUCAUAGAUUUAUGCAUAAUUUCAUAAUUUGAUCAUGAUCUUCGAAGUAUUAAAAUAUUAAAAAAACAAAUUGAUUUUAAAGAAUUCUUAGUUUAAUAUAUUGUUCACUUCAUAGCUUUGUUAUAAAUAUUUUUAAAGCAAUAUAUUACAUGUUUGAGAAUUAUUUUUUCGAAUCUGAUGUAAAAUGGUUGCACUUAGUCUGUCACAAAAUCAAACGAUCUCUUCAACGAAUAUCUGUCACAGUAUUUUGAAAAAGAGUAUUGAAUUAAAUAUUGUUCACUUCAUAAAUCUGUUAUAUAUAUUUUUUAAAAGCAAUAUAUGAUAUGGUCACGCAAAUUUAAUGUAAAAAUAUCCUCCAUUGCAAAAAAUAUGUAUAAAUCAACGAUGGACAAUCAUGUAUUUGUAAUAACUUUGACGUGUUGAAACCGUAUUCAAAUAACAACGAUGCAAUAUCCGUUAAAUCCCUUAUAUAGGAAACUCCUCUUUUCAUGUCAAUUUUGUUUCCUAUAUCACGCUAACAUUGCCAUUGACAAUAAUUUAUUUGAUCUUGUGAUUGACAAUUCAAAUUUGAAUAAUAUAUUAUGGGAAAAAUCGAAAUGGUAAUGUAUUAAAUUGUGUUGCCUUGAAUCUAAACUAUCAUAAAAUGAUCGUCGACUACAAUUAAAUUGAUAAUUAUGGAAACAAUAAACAUGGUUAACAUGCAAUGGAGGAGAUUUGAAACUAUUAUUAGCUCUUAAAAUAUAAUAUAUUGGGUCGUUUUAUGUCAUUUAAAAAAUAGUGUACGUAUAUAUCUAUUACAUUUUUCCCUUAUGUAGUAAUUCUUGAACAUUGCGAUUGUGAUUGGUAUCUUUAUCUAAUAUGGAGAAGAGUUGCAGCAACAUAUAUAUAAGUAGAUAUGUAGAUACAUACGUAGACAAUGGAUUUUAUGUAGUCUAGCUAUAUAGAAAGACAUUAAUAUUUAAGUCAGGCUAUAUAUCGAUCAUUAUGAAGAAUCUCAGGUUAUGGCAAUAAAAUCUCUGCGUAUUUAAAGAUCCAACCGUUUGUAAUUGAAGCGUAGCAAACAUGGCGCGGGUUUGUUUGUUUUGUUAGUCAAUAAGCUUAUAGUAUAUACCCAAUUUUUAAUGUAAUGUUCAAUGGAAAAUUUUGCAAUUAGUCUAGUUAAGAAAGAGUUUUUGAAUAUAUGAGGUGAAAGAGCUUGUGGUGCUGACGCGUAGGAAAUGACGCACAUGUAAUAAACACAUGAAUGAAAGGUUAUUUAUAUACAAUGUUCCUCAAAUAAUAAAAAAGGAUAGAAUAGAUGACUUGUAUAUUUAUGUAAGGCCCAUUUUUCAUUUGUAAUGUUUGAAUUCAAUUACAUAUAAUUAUAGAAAAGAUAUAUUUUACUAAUAUAUUUUCAAAUCUAACGUACAGUAUUACAAACACAUAUCAAUGUCAUCUGUUUUAUAUUCAAUAGUUCAUUUUAUCGUAUACACAAAUAACUAACUCUAAAUGAUUAAAAUAGAUAAGAUGUAUAUGAAUAUUAUAAAACUAUCAUGAAAUACAAAUAAAUUACUAAAAUUAUAAGAUAUUUAUUUUAUUACUUAUAAUUUUAGAUAGGAUAUUUAAAUAAUUUAUCAGUUAGAUAAAAAACAAUUUUCUAUUUUUAUUGAACAUCGUAUAUAUUAAUUCGUCUAAUAAUUAAACGCAAAUCCAGUGAAAUAAGUAUACAAUAAGAAGCUACAAAUACAUAUGACGGUUUGAAUAAUUAAUUGGAUGGAAAACAUAUAAAAUAUUGCAUCACGGUAUUAGAGAAAGUCAUAUAAACAUUUUAAAAUAUGCUUAAUAUUAAAAAUAUAUACCACUAAUGAUUAAAAAUAAAAUUUAUAUGUAAAAAAUGAAAGCAAAUAUCGACGUGGUUUUGGGAGAGCCCAGCAUCAGGUAGAAAGCCCGAAGUCUUACUGUGUUGAAUUCUGCUCAAAGUGAGUUUUGCCUACUAUCAUCCAAUAUUUGUCAAAUUUAAGAAGGGAGAAUUGCCAAGUGUGACUCAAAACUUGGAGUCAAACCCAAAACAAUACCCCAACUUGGGUCAAAGGCAAAAGUAACCUAAAAGGCUAUUGAA